rnacentral:hammerhead_ribozyme from 1 species
AUCCAGCAGACGAAUCUCACAUAAGACUAAACGUGCCUCCUGGAU